rnacentral:sRNA from 1 species
ACUGACUGUGUGAGUGAUUUAGCUGUUAUCUCAGGUACUCCCGAGGCGUGCUCUCCCCAGGUCGCCACGUUCGAACGCGUCUCUAUUUCACCAGUGAGAGCCAUGUCCACUCUCUGCUCAGUGUCUUCCGUUAUGGAGGACUUCUUGAUGUAAGGAUCCUCCUUCUUCUUUAGGCUGUGAACAGCUUUUUCCCAGCAUUCUUUUACUCUUCUCAAAUGAAAACUUUCUCCAUUCUCAUUGGCUCCCUGCUCAUUCUCUGACUCCCAUUUCCUUAAGCAAUGGCUUACCUCUUUUUGCAUUUGGUAGGAGACCCAGGAUGCACAAUGGCAGCGAGCUUUGGAUUAUCUUAGUGCCAUCUCAGAGCUUAACUACAUGACCCAGAUUGUCAUCAUGCUUUAUGAGGACAACACACAGGAUCCCUUAUCAGAGGAACGGUUCCAUGUGGAGCUACACUUCAGCCCCGGAGUGAAAGGUGUUGAGGAAGAAGGCAGUGCCCCGGCUGGCUGUGGAUUCCGUCCAGCCUCUUCUGAGAAUGAGGAGAUGAAAACCAACCAAGGGAGUAUGGAGAACCUGUGUCCAGGAAAGGCAUCAGAUGAACCAGACCGGGCAUUGCAGACUUUACCCCAGCCUGCUGAGGGCCCUGGCCU